rnacentral:rRNA from 1 species
GGCGGACGGGUGAGUAAUGCCUAGGAAUCUGCCUGGUAGUGGGGGACAACGUUUCGAAAGGAACGCUAAUACCGCAUACGUCCUACGGGAGAAAGCAGGGGACCUUCGGGCCUUGCGCUAUCAGAUGAGCCUAGGUCGGAUUAGCUAGUUGGUGAGGUAAUGGCUCACCAAGGCGACGAUACGUAACUGGUCUGAGAGGAUGAUCAGUCACACUUGGAACUGAGACACGGUCCAGACUCCUACGGGAGGCAGCAGUGGGGAAUAUUGGACAAUGCCCGAAAGCCUGAUCCAGCCAUGCCCGCGUGUGUGAAGAAGGUCUUCGGAUUGUAAAGCACUUUAAGUUGGGAGGACGGGUUGUAGAUUAAUACUCUGCAAUUUUGACGUUACCGACAGAAUAAGCACCGGCUAACUCUGUGCCAGCAGCCGCGGUAAUACAGAUAGUGCAAGCGUUAAUCGGAAUUCUGGGCGUAAAGCGCGCGUAGGUGGUUUGUUAAGUUGGAUGUGAAAUCCCCGGGCUCAACCUGGGAACUGCAUCCAAAACUGGCAAGCUAGAGUAUGGUAGAGGGUGGUGGAAUUUCCUGUGUACCGGUGAAAUGCGUAAUAUAGGAAGGACACCAGUGGCGAAGGCNACCCCUGGACUGAUACUGACCUGANGUGCNAAAGCGUGGGGAGCAACAGGAUUAACCCUAGCUCCGG